GGCUUAACCUGGGAACUGCAUUUGAAACUGGCAGGCUAGAGUCUUGUAGAGGGGGGUAGAAUUCCAGGUGUAGCGGUGAAAUGCGUAGAGAUCUGGAGGAAUACCGGUGGCGAAGGCGGCCCCCUGGACAAAGACUGACGCUCAGGUGCGAAAGCGUGGGGAGCGAAACAGGAUUAGAUACCCUGGUAGUCCACGCCGUAAACGAUGUCGACUUGGAGGUUGUGCCCUUGAGGCGUGGCUUCCGGAGCUAACGCGUUAAGUCGACCGCCUGGGGAGUACGGCCGCAAGGUUAAAACUCAAAUGAAUUGACGGGGGCCCGCACAAGCGGUGGAGCAUGUGGUUUAAUUCGAUGCAACGCGAAGAACCUUACCUGGCCUUGACAUCCACGGAAUUCGGCAGAGAUGCCUUAGUGCCUUCGGGAACCGUGAGACAGGUGCUGCAUGGCUGUCGUCAGCUCGUGUUGUGAAAUGUUGGGUUAAGUCCCGCAACGAGCGCAACCCUUAUCCUUUGUUGCCAGCGCGUGAUGGCGGGAACUCAAAGGAGACUGCCGGUGACAAACCGGAGGAAGGUGGGGAUGACGUCAAGUCAUCAUGGCCCUUACGGCCAGGGCUACACACGUGCUACAAUGGCGCAUACAAAGAGAAGCGACCUCGCGAGAGCAAGCGGACCUCAUAAAGUGCGUCGUAGUCCGGAUCGGAGUCUGCAACUCGACUCCGUGAAGUCGGAAUCGCUAGUAAUCGUAGAUCAGAACGCUACGGUGAAUACGUUCCCGGGCCUUGUACACACCGCCCGUCACACCAUGGGAGUGGGUUGCAAAAGAAGUAGGUAGCUUAACCUCCGGGAGGGCGCUUACCACUUUGUGAUUCAUGACUGGGGUGAAGUCGUAACAAGGUAACC
rnacentral:rRNA from 1 species